UUCCGGUUGAUCCUGCCGGACCCCACUGCUAUCGAGAUGGGACUAAGGUAUGCUAGUCGAACGACCAGAACUAUGUCUGGAGGUGGCACACUGCUCAGUAACACGUAGCUAACCUACCCUUAGGACGUGGAUACCCCCGAGAAAUUGGGGUUAAUCCGCGAUAGAUGUAAUGUCCUGGAAUGGUAUUACGUCUAAAGGUAUUUCAUACAUGUUUGAAAUAUGCCUAAGGAUGGGGCUGCGGCCGAUCAGGCUGUUGGUGAGGUAAUGGCUCACCAAACCUUUGACCGGUACGGGCCAUGAGGGUGGCAGCCCGGAGAUGGACACUGAGACAAGGGUCCAGGCCCUAAGGGGCGCAGCAACCGCGAAACCUCCACAAUGCACUCACGUGCGAUGGGGCUAUCUCGAGUGCCACCUGAUGAAGGUGGCUUUUCCUAGGUCUUCAAAGCCUUGGGAAUAAGAGGGGGGCAAGACUGGUGUCAGCCGCCGCGGCAACACCAGCCCCUCGAGUGGUGGGGAUGAUUAUUUGGCCUAAAGCGUCCGUAGCCGGCCGAGCAAGUCUUCCGUUAAAUCCAGCGUCUCAAGCGUUGGACCGCGGGAGAUACUACACGGCUAGAGAGUGGGAGAGGUCAGCGGUAUUCUGGGGGUAAGGGCGAAAUCUUUUGAUCCCCGGAGGACCACCAGUGGCGAAGGCUGCUGACUAGAACACGUCUGACGGUCAGGGACGAAAGCUGGGGUAGCGAACCGGAUUAGAUACCCGGGUAGUCCCAGCCGUAAACGAUGCAUGCUAGGUGUUGGGUUGGCCCACGAGCCACCCCAGUGCCGCAGGAAGCCGUUAAGCAUGCCGCCUGGGAAGUACGAUCGCAAGGUUGAAACUUAAGGAAUUGGCGGGGAGCACCACCAGGCGUGAAGCCUGCGUUUAUGACUCACGCGU
rnacentral:rRNA from 1 species